UAAUGGGUCAGCGACUUAUAUUCUGUAGCAAGGUUAACCGAAUAGGGGAGCCGAAGGGAAACCGAGUCUUAACUGGGCGUUAAGUUGCAGGGUAUAGACCCGAAACCCGGUGAUCUAGCCAUGGGCAGGUUGAAGGUUGGGUAACACUAACUGGAGGACCGAACCGACUAAUGUUGAAAAAUUAGCGGAUGACUUGUGGCUGGGGGUGAAAGGCCAAUCAAACCGGGAGAUAGCUGGUUCUCCCCGAAAGCUAUUUAGGUAGCGCCUCGUGAAUUCAUCUCCGGGGGUAGAGCACUGUUUCGGCAAAGGGGUCAUCCCGACUUACCAACCCGAUGCAAACAGCGAAUACCGGAGAAUGUUAUCACGGGAGACACACGGCGGGUGCUAACGUCCGUCGUGAAGAGGGAAACAACCCAGACCGCCAGCUAAGGUCCCAAAGUCAUGGUUAAGUGGGAAACGAUGUGGGAAGGCCCAGACAGCCAGGAUGUUGGCUUAGAAGCAGCCAUCAUUUAAAGAAAGCGUAAUAGCUCACUGGUCGAGUCGGCCUGCGCGGAAGAUGUAACGGGGCUAAACCAUGCACCGAAGCUGCGGCAGCGACGCUGAUGCGUUGUUGGGUAGGGGAGCGUUCUGUAAGCCUGCGAAGGUGUGCUGUGAGGCAUGCUGGAGGUAUCAGAAGUGCGAAUGCUGACAUAAGUAACGAUAAAGCGGGUGAAAAGCCCGCUCGCCGGAAGACCAAGGGUUCCUGUCCAACGUUAAUCGGGGCAGGGUGAGUCGACCCCUAAGGCGAGGCCGAAAGGCGUAGUCGAUGGGAAACAGGUUAAUAUUCCUGUACUUGGUGUUACUGCGAAGGGGGGACGGAGAAGGCUAUGUUGGCCGGGCGACGGUUGUCCCGGUUUAAGCGUGUAGGCUGGUUUUCCAGGCAAAUCCGGAAAAUCAAGGCUGAGGCGUGAUGACGAGGCACUACGGUGCUGAAGCAACAAAUGCCCUGCUUCCAGGAAAAGCCUCUAAGCAUCAGGUAACAUCAAAUCGUACCCCAAACCGACACAGGUGGUCAGGUAGAGAAUACCAAGGCGCUUGAGAGAACUCGGGUGAAGGAACUAGGCAAAAUGGUGCCGUAACUUCGGGAGAAGGCACGCUGAUAUGUAGGUGAAGUCCCUCGCGGAUGGAGCUGAAAUCAGUCGAAGAUACCAGCUGGCUGCAACUGUUUAUUAAAAACACAGCACUGUGCAAACACGAAAGUGGACGUAUACGGUGUGACGCCUGCCCGGUGCCGGAAGGUUAAUUGAUGGGGUUAGCGCAAGCGAAGCUCUUGAUCGAAGCCCCGGUAAACGGCGGCCGUAACUAUAACGGUCCUAAGGUAGCGAAAUUCCUUGUCGGGUAAGUUCCGACCUGCACGAAUGGCGUAAUGAUGGCCAGGCUGUCUCCACCCGAGACUCAGUGAAAUUGAACUCGCUGUGAAGAUGCAGUGUACCCGCGGCAAGACGGAAAGACCCCGUGAACCUUUACUAUAGCUUGACACUGAACAUUGAGCCUUGAUGUGUAGGAUAGGUGGGAGGCUUUGAAGUGUGGACGCCAGUCUGCAUGGAGCCGACCUUGAAAUACCACCCUUUAAUGUUUGAUGUUCUAACGUGGACCCGUAAUCCGGGUUGCGGACAGUGUCUGGUGGGUAGUUUGACUGGGGCGGUCUCCUCCUAAAGAGUAACGGAGGAGCACGAAGGUUGGCUAAUCCUGGUCGGACAUCAGGAGGUUAGUGCAAUGGCAUAAGCCAGCUUGACUGCGAGCGUGACGGCGCGAGCAGGUGCGAAAGCAGGUCAUAGUGAUCCGGUGGUUCUGAAUGGAAGGGCCAUCGCUCAACGGAUAAAAGGUACUCCGGGGAUAACAGGCUGAUACCGCCCAAGAGUUCAUAUCGACGGCGGUGUUUGGCACCUCGAUGUCGGCUCAUCACAUCCUGGGGCUGAAGUAGGUCCCAAGGGUAUGGCUGUUCGCCAUUUAAAGUGGUACGCGAGCUGGGUUUAGAACGUCGUGAGACAGUUCGGUCCCUAUCUGCCGUGGGCGCUGGAGAAUUGAGGGGGGCUGCUCCUAGUACGAGAGGACCGGAGUGGACGCAUCACUGGUGUUCGGGUUGUCAUGCCAAUGGCACUGCCCGGUAGCUAAAUGCGGAAGAGAUAAGUGCUGAAAGCAUCUAAGCACGAAACUUGCCCCGAGAUGAGUUCUCCCUGACUCCUUGAGAGUCCUGAAGGAACGUUGAAGACGACGACGUUGAUAGGCCGGGUGUGUAAGCGCAGCGAUGCGUUGAGCUAACCGGUACUAAUGAACCGUGAGGCUUAACCU
rnacentral:rRNA from 1 species